CCCCCAUAUACCCAAACCCCCAUUCUCAUGUACCCAAACCCCCAUUCUCAUAUACCAAACCCCCCUGCUCAAAUACCCUACAACCCCGCCGAUUCGCAUGUGCCACACACACAAACCAAACUAUAAUCUAUUAAGCAAACAAACCGGCAAUGGACAGUAUGAAAAAAAAAUGCAAGUGAAAAGCGAUAGGUGGACUAGCAUGGUCAAGCGACAAUGAACGCAGAGAAUAACCCGGAACUGAUGCCACAGGUCUGGUCCCCGGGAGAAACUUCCACCCAAUGACUCGCUUCGUAAGACGCUCAGAAGCUGCUAACGGAACAAAGUGUAGCGAGUGGCGAGAGAAAAGAUGAACAGAGAAGUAAAUCCCCAAAGCACCCCCCGGAAGGACCAGAAAAGGGCAACAGUCCCGGCACAACUGCUAGAGUCGAACACAAAGAGCUUUAGAUAGCCCUGGGAAAGUUGAUCCCCACCAGCCAAGAAAGAAAAAAGAACCCAAGAAAUGCAAACGAAAACCAGCGAACGAGCGCAAACACAAGAUCAGUAAUUUCAUACACACUCGAAAAACAUAUAUUGCCCAAGAAUUGGGUGAUUCGCGUAUGGCAAGGAA